rnacentral:lncRNA from 1 species
AGGAAUCUCCUAUUUUGGUUCUGAAAUAGUUAACGUUCCUUUUAAGUAGUCUCAUUUAUACCUUGAGAGUGAUUUAAUUACCCACAGCAUCUGUUUAACAUUGUACUCACAGAGAAAUCACAGAAACGUAUGCAACAUUGGUUGUUCCUAAGUAGAUUCAAUGUUCUCUAAGGUCUCAUUAACCUGUAAGUUCUCACAUGUUUGUUACAUCUGAGCUAAUGAAGAAAUAGCCAGGGGUAAGGAACUGAGAAAGAGACUAUGGCUGUCUCAACACAAACCCAUUCCAGGACUGUAAAAAAUAUCUGACAAGUCAUAUCUUCCCAGUGUGGUAGUAAAAUCACUGGAGUGUAUUGGAUGGUAUAAGCAACUGAAGAGGAUUAAGAAUGGCCUCUGUGGCUGGGCACAGAGGUUCACGCUUGUAAUCUCAGAACAUUGGGAGGCUUAGGUGGGAGAAUCACUUGAACUCAGGAGUCUGAGACCAGCUUGGGCAACAUAGGAAGACCCCCACCUCUACAAAAAAAAAUUAAAAAUUAGCUGGGUCUCGUGGUGCACGUCUGUGGUCCCAGCUACUCAAGAGGCUGAGGUGGGAGGAUUGCUUGGGCCCAGGAGGUUGAGGCUGCAGUGAGCCAAGAUCACACCACUGCACUCAAGCCUAGGUGAUGGAGCAAU